ACCAGCCGAUUCGACACAAAAUACCGGAAAGACCCGGAAUCCCUCAGAGCCCCGAGAGGGCUUGCUCCACCGUGGGCGCACGGAGGGCUGCGAGGUCCCAGGUAGACCCCCCCCCAGCGAACAGAUUUGCACGAUUAUGCGUCAGUGGGCCUUCAAGGACGCAGCUCCAUCCAACACAUGCUGACCGAAACUCACGAGGACCUUCAGAGCACAGGCUUGUACAGGGGCACUGACGCCCUGGCUGACCGACGGGAGUACACACUUCUGUUUGGGUUCUUUCGCCCCCUGGUUCUUAAAGGCUCAUUAGACAUCACAUCAGAUAAGGACUUAGACUCAAUGUUGCUCAGCUCAGAUGAUCCUCCGAUAAGGAAACAGAUCAAGAGAGGUUAAUGAUUUGCCCACCUUCACCCAUCCAUGCCCUCCAAUGUCAAGACAAAAGUUGGGGAAAGGAAGGGGAAGAAUGACGGGCUUUUUGGAGAAGAUCAGUGCUGACUAGCCUUUGAAGGGCGAACAAGAUUUGAAUCAGCAGAGAUGAGGAAAGGCUGGGAAAAGAUAAUGUGCCGGAGAGUGGAGAUGAGCGUCCAGGUGCCUGGGAUUCCCUCUGCCUGGCCUUGCUUCAGCUGACCUCCCUCUUGUAGUUAGGCCCCCGCUGAUGGACCCUCCGGAAAUGGCUUCUUCCCUCCUUCCUGCCCCAAAGGCGGGUUGGCUGCAAAAGCUGGAUUCCCUUUCUAGAGAGGGAAUAGAAACAUAAAGAAUGUAUUAGUUAUAGAAAUAGCAUUGCACACACCCACCCGAAUGCCUAAAAUGGAAAUGAUGGAAAGUGCAAAGUGAUGCUCUGGGACUCUCCCACACAGAUGAGAGGAAUGUGGAUUUUACAGCCACUUUGGAGAACUCUUUGACAGUAGCUACUGAAGCCAACCAUAUACACCUUAUGGGUGACCAGCAAUUCCACCCCAGGAGUAUACAAGAGUAGACAAGCUCAACAGAGUGAAGUCACCUUUCCCAGAACUGUGAAAUUUCAUAUUACUUCUCUUCCUUUUCCGGUUUGUGGUUCUGGAGAAGUACACACAAUUUACCAUAAGCAGAGCAGGUCAGUAAUGUCUCAUCUAUGUUCGUGUGAGGAUAGUCUCAUCACUAGUCUCCAAAUCUAUCCUUUCCCUGCUCCAGUUCAUCCUCCCCACUGCUGCCUCAUCUCACGUGAGUAUAGGCACUCCAGCUUUUUUAUGAUUAGUGCCAAUGACCAAUGCAGAGCUGAAUCCUCCUACCAUAAGCCAAGUGAGUGAGCCGCCUAGGAAACAAGUCCCUAGCCCCACUCUGGCCUUCAGAUGACUGCAGCACCAGCCAACAUCUUGACUCCAACCUUCUGGAAGGUCCUAAUCCAGAACCACCCAGCUAAAACUGCUCCCAAAUUUUUGACCUACAAAAACUGUGAGUGUUAGUAUCGGCACUGAAAAAACACUCACUGAUCAGUUUCACUGUGAUGGAUGGCACAUUCAUUCACCAAAUACUUAUUGAGAAGCUUUUCGGAGCCAAAUCAGAAGAUAGACACUAGAGGGUACAAAGACAAAACAGUCACUGCCCCUGGCCUCAAGAGUGGUUUGGAGUACAAGGUGGUUGAGAUUGCCUUGUGAAAACGGAAGUGAGAAACUCAACUGGAUCUUGUUCCUGCUUGAUUAUACUGAGGUUAAAGAUUUUUGGAAACAAUACUUCUCAAAUGAUGCUGGUGCUUCAUACUGUAUCACAUCAGGAGACACAUAAUUUCAGGAGGAACCAGAUCAUUGCAGCUCUAUUUACAAUAGCCAGGACAUGGAAGCAACCUAAGUGUCCAUCGACAGAUGAAUGGAAAAAGAUGUGGCACAUACAUACAAUGGACUAUUACUCAGACA